rnacentral:rRNA from 1 species
AAGUCCCGCAAGGGAUGAGUACAGAGGCGUACGGGUGAGUAACACGUGGAUAACCUGCCUUCAAACGGGGAAUAACCCUGGGAACCCGAGGCUAAUACCGCAUAACACUUGGGAGCUUUGGCUCCAGAGUUGAAAUCCGCAAGGGGUUUGAAGAGGGGUCCGCGGCUGAUUAGCUAGUUGGCGGGGUAAUGGCCCACCAAGGCUUUGAUCAGUAGCCGGCCUGAGAGGGCGGACGGCCACACUGGAACUGCAACACGGUCCAGACUCCUACGGGAGGCAGCAGUGGGGAAUUUUGCGCAAUGGGGGAAACCCUGACGCAGCAACGCCGCGUGGACGAUGAAGCUUCUUGGA